rnacentral:piRNA from 1 species
ACUGUAUUUUCUGUACUUACGACC